rnacentral:rRNA from 1 species
GACAGAGGUGCCGAGCGUUAGGCGGAAUCACUGGGCUUAAAGCGUGUGUAGGCGGACUUCUAAGUACCUUGUGAAAUCCCACGGCUCAACCGUGGAACUGCUUGGUAUACUGGUCGUCUUGAGCCAUCUAGGGGCUGUCGGAACAAAUGGUGGGGCGGUGAAAUGCGUAGAUAUCAUUUGGAACGCCAAAGGUGAAAACAGACAGCUGGGGAUGUGCUGACGCUGAGACACGAAAGCCAGGGGAGCGAACGGG